GACGAACGCUGGCGGCGCGCCUAACACAUGCAAGUCGAACGAGCGAGUGAGAGCUUGCUUUCUUGAGCGAGUGGCGAACGGGUGAGUAACGCGUGAGGAACCUGCCUCAAAGAGGGGGACAACAGUUGGAAACGACUGCUAAUACCGCAUAAGCCCACGACCCGUCAUCGGGUUGAGGGAAAAGGAGCAAUCCGCUUUGAGAUGGCCUCGCGUCCGAUUAGCUAGUUGGUGAGGUAACGGCCCACCAAGGCGACGAUCGGUAGCCGGACUGGGAGGUUGAACCGCCACAUUAGGACUGAGACACGGCCCAGACUCCUACGGGAGGCAGCAGUGGGGACUAUUGCACGAUGGGGGAGAGCAGGAUGCAUCGACGCCGCGUGGAGCAAGAAGGUGUGAGGAGUGUAAGCUCCUGUUGAUGAGGAAGAUAAUGACGGUACUCAACAAGAAAGUGACGGCUAACUACGUG
rnacentral:rRNA from 1 species